UACAGAGGGCGCGAGCGUUAUUCGGAAUUAUUGGGCGUAAAGCGUGCGUAGACGGCUAUCUAAGUCGGGCGUGAAAUCUCGGAGCUUAACUCCGAAACUGCAUUCGAUACUGCCGUGCUUGAGGACUGGAGAGGAGACUGGAAUUUACGGUGUAGCGGUGAAAUGCGUAGAUAUCGUAAGGAAGACCAGUGGCGAAGGCGGGUCUCUGGACAGUUCCUGACGCUGAGGCACGAAGGUCAGGGGAGCAAACGGG
rnacentral:rRNA from 1 species